rnacentral:rRNA from 1 species
UACGUAGGGGGGCAAGCGUUGUCCGGAUUUAUUGGGCGUAAAGAGCGUGUAGGCGGCCAGGUAGGUCAGCUGUGAAAACAUCGAGGCUCAACCUCGAGACGCCGGUUGAAACCAUCUGGCUAGAGUACGGGAAGAGGCGAGUGGAAUUCCUGGUGUAGCGGUGGAAUGCGCAGAUAUCAGGAGGAACACCAAUAGCGAAGGCAGCUCGCUGGGACGUUACUGACACUAAGGCGCGAAAGCGUGGGGAGCGAACAGG